rnacentral:misc_RNA from 1 species
UUUUAUUUUAAUUUUAUUUGAAAAAAUCUAAAAAUUUCCAUGCGGUUCAAUUUAAGAAAACUAAAAAUCCAUUCCAACCCUUGAGAAAUUGCCCGUCAUCACCGCUUAUUUAUUUCUCACACAAACACAUGCCCACUUAUCAAGCAAUUUAUAUUUUUAACUUUUAAACAUAAUCUUUGACUUGGAUAUGGCCGUUCAUUAUUAUCAGCUAAGAGUUGACCACAUCGAGCAGCCAAACUCAUUGAAGAGGCAUUAUGGAUCCAUAUGAUUAUAGCCACAAAGCCGAAGGUAAUCUUUCUUUUCUUUAUCGUAAAGACAAAUCAGAUCUAAAUAAGUUUUCUUUUUUU